CCUACGGGUGGCAGCAGUGGGGAAUAUUGCGCAAUGGGCGAAAGCCUGACGCAGCGACGCCGCGUGAGGGAUGAAGGUCUUCGGAUCGUAAACCUCUGUCAGCAGGGAAGAACAGUCACUGUGCUAAUCAGCAGUGAAUUGACGGUACCUUCAAAGGAAGCAACGGCUAACUCCGUGCCAGCAGCCGCGGUAAUACGGAGGGUGCGAGCGUUAAUCGGAAUUAUUGGGCGUAAAGCGGUCGUAGGCGGUAUGUCAAGUCAAGGGGGAAAUCCCCGGGCUCAACGUGGGAACUGCCUUUGAUACUGGCAAACUAGAGUGUGAGAGAGGAUAGUGGAAUUCCAGGUGUAGGGGUGAAAUGCGUAGAUAUAUGGAAGAACAUCAGUGGCGAAGGCGACUAACUGGCACAUAACUGACGCUGAGGAACGAAAGCGUGGGUAGCAAACAGGAUUAGAUACCCUGGUAGUC
rnacentral:rRNA from 1 species